rnacentral:lncRNA from 1 species
GGUCAGGGGCCUGAAGUGACAGAGAUUGAAAGACUGGGGACUAGGAGGUCUAAGGUAGCGGCAUGUGGAUGGGCAUGUUCAAGGCGCCAUGUUGAAGAUCUUCAUGUCAUUCCUUAAUGACCACCAGAUAUCAUCCUCCAGGGAAAGGACACUCAAAAACCGUCAAAACAAAAGAAGCCAGGGAGUUGACAUUAGCCAUUAGUGUCUGAAUGACAUGGCCAUGGUGGCAGAGGUGGAGGUCCUGCCUGGGUCCAACAACAUGGGCUCUCACUCACCGGGACCGACUUCUGCUACUGCUAUGUUCAACCUGCCAGCAACAGAGACUAAUGCGGAGACUCCAAAAUGGCAUGAUACCUCAAGGAGACCAACUGGACACUUGAAGGUCAAAACAUCAAGAAGAAGCUUGUGGCUGGGUGUGUGGCCUUGAGUGAAAUCUGGGGAGAAAGGUGAACCAGGAGAGAAAAUAUUCUACCAGCUAGCCUGCUAGAAAUGCAAGCCUUCCUCACAUGGGUCUAUGAACACCUAAUAUCCUAUUCCCAUAAGGAUCCACAG